rnacentral:rRNA from 1 species
GGGUUGUGAGGUUAAGCGACUAAGCGUACACGGUGGAUGCCCUGGCAGUCAGAGGCGAUGAAGGACGUGCUAAUCUGCGAUAAGCGUCGGUAAGGUGAUAUGAACCGUUAUAACCGGCGAUUUCCGAAUGGGGAAACCCAGUGUGAUUCGUCACACUAUCAUUAACUGAAUCCAUAGGUUAAUGAGGCGAACCGGGGGAACUGAAACAUCUAAGUACCCCGAGGAAAAGAAAUCAACCGAGAUUCCCCCAGUAGCGGCGAGCGAACGGGGAGGAGCCCAGAGCCUGAAUCAGUGUGUGUGUUAGUGGAAGCGUCUGGAAAGGCGCGCGAUACAGGGUGACAGCCCCGUACACAAAAAUGCACAUGCUGUGAGCUCGAUGAGUAGGGCGGGACACGUGGUAUCCUGUCUGAAUAUGGGGGGACCAUCCUCCAAGGCUAAAUACUCCUGACUGACCGAUAGUGAACCAGUACCGUGAGGGAAAGGCGAAAAGAACCCCGGCGAGGGGAGUGAAAAAGAACCUGAAACCGUGUACGUACAAGCAGUGGGAGCCUCUUUAUGGGGUGACUGCGUACCUUUUGUAUAAUGGGUCAGCGACUUAUAUUCUGUAGCAAGGUUAACCGAAUAGGGGAGCCGAAGGGAAACCGAGUCUUAACUGGGCGUUAAGUUGCAGGGUAUAGACCCGAAACCCGGUGAUCUAGCCAUGGGCAGGUUGAAGGUUGGGUAACACUAACUGGAGGACCGAACCGACUAAUGUUGAAAAAUUAGCGGAUGACUUGUGGCUGGGGGUGAAAGGCCAAUCAAACCGGGAGAUAGCUGGUUCUCCCCGAAAGCU